rnacentral:rRNA from 1 species
GACGAACGCUGGCGGCGUGCCUAAUACAUGCGAGUCGAACGCUGAAGGAGGAGCUUGCUUCUCUGGAUGAGUUGCGAACGGGUGAGUAACGCGUAGGUAACCUGCCUGGUAGCGGGGGAUAACUAUUGGAAACGAUAGCUAAUACCGCAUAAUAGUAGAUGUUGCAUGAUAUUUGCUUAAAAGGUGCAAUUGCAUCACUACCAGAUGGACCUGCGUUGUAUUAGCUAGUUGGUGAGGUAACGGCUCACCAAGGCGACGAUACAUAGCCGACCUGAGAGGGUGAUCGGCCACACUGGGACUGAGACACGGCCCAGACUCCUACGGGAGGCAGCAGUAGGGAAUCUUCGGCAAGGGACGGAAGUCUGACCGAGCAACGCCGCGUGAGUGAAGAAGGUUGUCGGAUCGUAAAGCUCUGUUGUAAGAGAAGAACGAGUGUGAGAGUGGAAAGUUCACACUGUGACGGUAUCUUACCAGAAAGGGACGGCUAACUACGUG